rnacentral:rRNA from 1 species
AACGUAGGAGACAAACGUUAUCCGGAGUUACUGGGCGUAAAGGGCGUGUAGGUGGUUUCGUAAGUCUGGCGUGAAAUUUCUCGGCUUAACCGAGGCAGGUCGUCGGAUACUGCGGAACUAGAGGACGGUAGAGGCGUGUGGAAUUCCGGGUGUAGUGGUGAAAUGCGUAGAUAUGCGGAGGAACACCGAUGGCGAAGGCAAUCCCCUGGGCCUGCACUGACGCUCAUGCACGAAAGCGUGGGGAGCAAACAGG